rnacentral:rRNA from 1 species
UUGGUUAUCCUGGAAGUAAGUAAGUAGGGAGUGUGAUAGGAAAAUCCGUUGCACAUUAAUCCUGAGAUACGACACGUAGCCGAUUUAGGCGAUUUGAUUGAUCCUAUGCUGCCUAGAAAAGCCUAGCAAUGAGUUAAUAUGGUGCCCGUACCCCAAACCGACACAGGUAGAUAAGUAGAGAAUACUAAGGAGAGCGAGAUAACUCCGGUUAAGGAACUCGGCAAAAUGCCCCCGUAACUUCGGGAUAAGGGGGGCCUCAGUAAAGUGAUUGUCUUCGCGACAUGAGCUUGAGGAGGCCGCAGUGACUAGAGCCAAGCGACUGUUUACCAAAAACACAGGUGCAUGCGAAGCCGUAAGGCGAUGUAUAUGCACUGACGCCUGCCCAAUGCUGGAAGGUCACGGAGAGAGGUUAGCGCUUGUCGCGAAGCUUCGAACUUAAGCCCCAGUGAAUGGCGGCCGUAACUAUAACGGUCCUAAGGUAGCGAAAUUCCUUGUCGGGUAAGUUCCGACCUGCACGAAUGGCGUAACGACUUGGCUACUGUCUCAACCGGAGACUCGGCGAAAUUGCAAUACGAGUAAAGAUGCUCGUUUCCCGCACCAGGACGGUAAGACCCCGUGCACCUUUACUGCAACUUGAUGUUGGGUUUGGGUAUGAACUGUGUAGGAUAGCUGGGAGACUGCGAAGCAGAGGCGUCAGCUUUUGUGGAGUCAACCUUGAAAUACCAGCCUGUUCAUAUCGGAACCUCUCACCACAGGCCCUAGAUCGGGUCUUGGGACAGCGUCAGGUGGGUAGUUUGACUGGGGCGGUCGCCUCCUAAAGAGUAUCGGAGGCGUCCAAAGUUAUACUCAGCCUGGUUGGCAAUCAGGCGUCGAGCGCAAAAGUAUAAGUAUGAUUGACUGCAAGACCUACAAGUCAAGCAGGGACGAAAGUCGGGUUUAGUGACCCAGCGGCAGCUUGUGGAAGCGCCGUUGAUUAACGGAUAAAGGUACGCCGGGGAUAACAGGCUCAUUUUGCCCAAUAGUUCACAUAGACGGCAAAGUUUGGCACCUCGAUGUCGGCUCGUCGCAUCCUGGGGGUGUAGCCACUCCCAAGGGUUGGGCUGUUCGCCCAUUAAAGCGGUACGCGAGCUGGGUUCAGAACGUCGCGAGACAGUUCGGCCCCUAUCCGGUGUGGGCGUAAGAGAUUUGAGGAAAUCUGUUCCUAGUACGAGAGGACCGGAAUGGACGUGGCUCUCGUGUGACAGUUGUCCUGCCAAGGGCAUGGCUGGUUAGCGACCCACGGAAAAGAUAAACGCUGAAAGCAUCUAAGCGUGAAACUUGUUCCAAGAUGAGAUCUCUCAUGUGGUUAACACAGUAAGGCCCCUUAUAGACCAUGAGAUUGAUAGGCCAGAAGUGUACGGACAGUAAUGUCUUUAGCUGACUGGUACUAAUCGGUCGAGGGCUUGU